AUACGGAGGAUCCGAGCGUUAUCCGGAUUUAUUGGGUUUAAAGGGUGCGCAGGCGGCCAUUUAAGUCAGCGGUUAAAUCGUGGGGCUCAACCCCAUUCUGCCGUUGAUACUGGGUGGCUUGAUUGCGGUCGAGGUUGGCGGAAUUCGUUGUGUAGCGGUGAAAUGCAUAGAUAUGACGAAGAACACCGAUUGCGUAGGCAGCUGACCAGAUCGCAAAUGACGCUCAUGCACGAAAGUGCGGGGAUCGAACAGGAUUAGAUACCCUGGUAGUCCGCACAGUAAACGAUGAAUACUCGCUGUUUGCGAUAUACGGCAAGCGGCCAAGCGAAAGCAUUAAGUAUUCCACCUGGGGAGUACGCCGGCAACGGUGAAACUCAAAGGAAUUGGCGGGG
rnacentral:rRNA from 1 species